AGUCUUCGAGCUGGAAGCUUUCCGGGGAGGGUCAGUAAUGGCCACUGAGCCCUCUGUUGGCUUAUUGGCUGAGCUCACUGAUGAGGAAACCUUGAGUUCGUCACUUUCUCUUCUCUAAUUGCUGAAGUGGCCGUCACUGAAGAUGACAGAGCGUUUCUGAAGGACACAUGGGAAUCAUUAACCAGCCCAAUAAAAUGAUCUAUUUAUGAAGAGAAAGUCAGCACUGAACCACAGGCCACUUAGAGUUCCAUCUUGAUGCUACAAGAGCUGCAGGAGGCUUUGAACUGACAUGGUGAAUGUGGAUGCAUGUAGAGUUCCUUGGACAGCCCAGGGAAGGACCUCCACCUUCGUUGCUCCCUUCUCCUGUCCCCCCACCUACCAAAACACAGGAACCCCAUCUUCAGACAGAAGGCAUGCUGCCUCAUGAAGGCUCACAGUUCCAGCCCUUAGAACCAUCCAGAGGUUAGACUCAGGUUUGUGUUCCCAGUGGCAGGAUAAAUGUGCCUUUCUUGGAGCUGAGCCUACUUUGCCCUAAGGUUACAUUUCUACACAAGGAAGCCUUUUUAAAGAGUAGUGCUUCAGGCCUCCACACUAACGGUUUGUGUCUGCCAUCUUAGAAAAAGGGAGCCCAUAAUAAAACUACAGGAGCCAGCAAUAGAGAAUUACAACCCCAGAAUGAGAGGGGGUCUGCUUCGGCCCUGCUAAAUGCUGAGCCUUGGUCUCUCUGAGGAAGAACAAAAAAGCGGAAGGAAUUUAAGUCAAUUGUCUCCUGGAUUGCCUUAGCAGAGACCAGGAAAACAGGGUGCUUACUAAGGGUCUACUGACUCUUGGCCACUACCCUGGUACUAGACAAGCUGGGAGGGAAACGGUUGGGGGUGGGGCGGGGGUGGGGUGGGGAGAGAAAAGUUCAUGUAAGUCAAAGCAGCCUGUGAUGUACAAGCAUCCAAGCUAGAGGCUAUGUGUAUGGUGCUGUGACUCAGAGUAUAGCCAGUUCAUUUUCAGAUAGUAUGGAACAAAUACUACUAAAGAUCUCUGGGUGCCCCUGAUAGGCAGAAAUGGCGAGAACAUCAGAAAAAGGGCUGGAACACAGCAAAGGGGCUGGAGGAAAAACAAAGGUAGUGGCUGAUAGGUUAUCUCCUCCUGGGUCUGAAUCCAGGCAGAGAGAGGGGAAGGAAGCCCCCAAGCAGACCGGCCUGCUUUGAAGAGAGAGCACAGGGUUGACAGAGAAUAGAGAAGGCACUGCGGCCACCUGUCCAGCAGCUCUGGUUUUGGCAGUGCGGUCCUGAUGCCUGCAUUGCUGGACCCAGCUUGAGAGCUUCCUAAAAUAUCCCUGGGGCUGAUGCAAUAGCAGUUUGUGGCGGAGCUGCAUUGCCAUGUGGUGAUGGAAUAACCUGGUGAUGUAGAGGGAGCCUUUUAAGUCUUCGUGGGAUCUGACCCAACGAGCCCUACUGAGAACAAGCCAGGUGGCACAGUGGUUAGUUCUCCGGUGUGGGAAGAAUGGCGUUCCCCUUCACCCAUCUACAUCACUGCUCAGCCAGGGCAUGGCAACUCUCAGGAGGGCAGUCCUGAGCAGUCCUGAGCAGUCCUUUCACAACCCUUCAGCUCUCUGAAUGUCAAGAGAUGCAAGGUUACCUAGUCCACCUUCACCCUGAAGAGAGCCCCCUGCUCUAGAAUACCUUCUGGGUGACGACCAACUUGUGUUAGGGAAAGGAAGAGGAGCCCCUGGUCUGAAAGAAGAACUGAAAGAUAUUAGGACACAGUAGCACCCUAAGCUAGGCUAUGGUCAUCUCCAAAUAAAAAUGGUUGCUCAAGUUCUAUGCCA
rnacentral:lncRNA from 1 species